rnacentral:rRNA from 1 species
GGUAGGGAACCGGGGGAACUGAAACAUCUUAGUACCCCGAGGAAGAGAAAUCAACCGAGAUUCCCCAAGUAGUGGCGAGCGAACGGGGAACAGCCCAAACCGUUGUCGUGAAGAAGCCUGCUGGCGUUGCGGCAACGGGGUUGUGGGACCUUCCAGGCGGGGCAGCAGACCCGCCACAGAGUGAGCAACCACCUCACCACUCGAACCUCGCUGGAAAGCGGGACCAGAGACGGUGACAGUCCGGUAGGGGACGGUGGGGUGGCUCUGGGAAGGCACCCAAGUACCCUGGGACACGAGGAACCCUGGGGGAAUCUGGGGGGACCACCCUCCAAGGCUAAAUACUCCUGGCCACCGAUAGUGCACCAGUACCGUGAGGGAAAGGUGAAAAGCACCCCGGUGAGGGGAGUGAAAGAGAACCUGAAACCGGCCGUCCACAAGCAGUCGGAGUCCGAUCCCGAGGCAACUCGGGAGGGACGACGGCGUGCCUUUUGCAGAAUGAACCGGCGAGUUACGCUGGCAGGCCAGGUUAAGUCUGGGAGAGACGAAGCCGCAGGGAAACCGAGUCCGAAUAGGGCGCGUCCCGAAGCGAUUCGGGACAGGUCUGCCGGAGUAGACCCGAAACCAGGUGAUCUACCCAUGGCCAGGGUGAAGCUCGGGUAACACCCGGGUGGAGGCCCGAACCGGUGUCGGUUGAAAACGGCUCGGAUGAGCUGUGGGUAGGGGUGAAAUGCCAAUCGAACCUGGAGAUAGCUGGUUCUCCCCGAAAUGCAUUGAGGUGCAGCCUCUCGCGUUCCGUCUCGGAGGUAGAGCACUGGAUGGCCGAGGGGCCUUACCCGGUUACCGAAGUCAACCAAACUCCGAAUGCCGAGACGCCAAGCGAGGGAGUGAGACGCUGGGGGAUAAGCUUCAGCGUCGAGAGGGAAACAGCCCAGACCAGCCGCUAAGGUCCCCGAACCCGGCUAAGUGUGAAAGGAAGUGGGAGCACGCAGACAGCCAGGAUGUUGGCUUGGAAGCAGCCAUCAUUGAAAGAGUGCGUAACAGCUUACUGGCCGAAUGUGGUCCCGCGCCGACAAUGUAAGGGGGCUAAGCCGGGUACCGAAGCGCUGGAUCCGGUCUCGAACGGGGCCGGAUGGUAGGGGAGCGUUCCGCGGUAGAGCGAAGCGCGAGACGCGAGUCCGCGUGGACGAAGCGGAAGUGAGAAUGCCGGUAUAAGUAGCGAGAAGACGGGUGAGAAUCCCGUCCGCCGAAAGCCUAAGGUUUCUUAAGGAAGGCUCGUCCUCUUGAGGUUAGUCGGUCCUAAGCCGAGGCCGAAAGGCGUAGGCGAUGGCUGGCCGGUGGAUAUUCCGGCACCGGUGGACCCCGCCAUGAGCGAAGGGGGGACGCGGAGCGAAGCACCAGCCCGCCCGCGGGUAGUGCGGGUCCCACCGUAGGCGGGGCGAGGGAGGGAAAUCCCCCUCGCCACCACCGCUGGCGGCGGGGGAAGCGGAGGGGUAACACCUGAAGUGAACUGGUGGGACGCUGCGCCAAGAAAAGCCUCUAGCCAGGGGUCACCGACCGUACCGCAAACCGACACAGGUAGGCGGGUAGAGGAUACCCAGGCGCGCGAGCGAACUCUCGUCAAGGAACUAGGCAAGUUGACCCCGUAACUUCGGGAGAAGGGGUGCCCCGGGGGGAUCCGGUUCGAGACGACCGGGUUUUCCUGGGGUCGCAGUGACCAGGCCCAAGCGACUGUUUAACAAAAACACAGGUCUCUGCCAAGGGGAAACCCGCGGUAUAGGGGCUGACACCUGCCCAACGCCAGACGGUUAACGGGAGGGGUCAGGCCGGAGGCUGGAAGCGGAAAGUCGGCUGCGAAAGCGGUUGGCUUUCGGCUUCCAGUCUCUGGCCGAAGCUCCGAACUGAAGCCCUGGUGAGUGGCGGCCGUAACUAUAACGGUCCUAAGGUAGCGAAAUUCCUAGUCGGGUAAGUUCCGACCUGCACGAAUGGUGUCACGACUUGGGCGCUGUCUCGACGAGAGGCUCGGUGAAGUUGUAGUACCUGUGAAGAUGCAGGUUCCCCACGAUAGGACGGAAAGACCCCGUGGAGCUUGACUGCACCCUGGUAUGGAUGGUCGGUAUAACCUGUAGAGGAUAGGUGGGAGGGGGCAACCCCGCCGGUGGAAUACCACCCUGGCUAUACUGGCCCUCUAACCGAUCCCGAUAGAGCUCGGGAUCGAGACAGUAUCAGGUGGGCAGUUUGACUGGGGCGGUCGCCUCCUAAACGGUAACGGAGGCGCCCAAAGGUUCCCUCGGCCUGGUUGGAAACCAGGCGGAAAGAGUGCAAGGGCAGAAGGGAGCUUGACGGCGAGAGGUACCCCUCGAGCCGGGACGAAAGUCGGGCCUAGUGACCCUCUGGCUGCGUGUGGAAGCGCCAGGGUUAACGGAUAAAAGUUACCCCGGGGAUAACAGGCUUAUCUUCCCCAAGCGUUCACAGCGACGGGAAGGUUUGGCACCUCGAUGUCGGCUCGUCGCAUCCUGGGGCUGAAUUAGGUCCCAAGGGUUAGGCUGUUCGCCUAUUAAAGCGGUACGCGAGCUGGGUUCAGAACGUCGCGAGACAGUUCGGUCCCUAUCCAUCGUGGGCGCAAGAGAGUUGAGGGGAGCUGCUCCUAGUACGAGAGGACCGGAGUGGACCGACCGCUGGUGUACCAGUUGUCCCGCCAGGGGCAGCCGCUGGGUAGCUAUGUCGGGAAGAGAUAAGCGCUGAAAGCAUCUAAGCGCGAAGCUCGCCCCAAGAUGAGCUCUCUCACCAGGUCAACUGGGUAAGGCUCGUGGUAGACUACCACGUCGAUAGGCCGGAGGUGGAAGGUCAGCAAUGGCUUGAGCCCACCGGUCCUAAUCAGCCGAGGGCUUGACCAUCCCCCUCUUC